UACGAAGGUGGCAAGCGUUUGUUCGGAUUUACUGGGCGUAAAGGGAGCGUAGGUGGUGCGGUAAGCCCCUCCGGGGAAAGCUUCAGGCUUAACCUGAAAAGGUCGGGGGGGACUGCCACGCUAGAGGACGGGAGAGGAGCGCGGAAUUCCCGGUGUAGCGGUGAAAUGCGUAGAGAUCGGAAAGACACCAACGGCGAAAGCACUCUGCUGGGCCGACACUGACACUGAGAGACGAAAGCUAGGGGAGCGAAUGGG
rnacentral:rRNA from 1 species